CAGCAGCCACGGUAAUACAGAGGGUGCGAGCGUUAAUCGGAUUUACUGGGCGUAAAGCGUGCGUAGGCGGCUUUUUAAGUCGGAUGUGAAAUCCCUGAGCUUAACUUAGGAAUUGCAUUCGAUACUGGGAAGCUAGAGUAUGGGAGAGGAUGGUAGAAUUCCAGGUGUAGCGGUGAAAUGCGUAGAGAUCUGGAGGAAUACCGAUGGCGAAGGCAGCCAUCUGGCCUAAUACUGACGCUGAGGUACGAAAGCAUGGGGAGCAAACAGGAUUAGAUACCCCGGUAGUCCCUGUCUCUUAUAU
rnacentral:rRNA from 1 species